rnacentral:rRNA from 1 species
GCCAGCAGCCGCGGUAAUACGGAGGGGGUUAGCGUUGUUCGGAAUUACUGGGCGUAAAGCGUACGUACGCGGAUUAGUCAGUCAGAGGUGAAAUCCCAGGGCUCAACCCUGGAACUGCCUUUGAUACUGCUGCCUCCGAUAACGAGAGAGGUGAGUGGAAUUCCAAGUGUAGAGGUGAAAUUCGUAGAUAUUUGGAGGAACACCAGUGGCGAAGGCGGCUCACUGGCUCGAUACUGACGCUGAGGUACGAAAGUGUGGGGAGCAAACAGGAUUAGAUACCCUGGUAGUCCACACCGUAAACGAUGAAUGCCAGUCGUCGGGCAGUAUACUGUUCGGUGACACACCUAACGGAUUAAGCAUUCCGCCUGGGG